rnacentral:rRNA from 1 species
CAGUCGCCACGGGAAUACGGAGGGAGCUAGCGUUGUUCGGAAUUACUGGGCGUAAAGCGCACGUAGGCGGUUAUUCAAGUCAGAGGUGAAAGCCCGGGGCUCAACCCCGGAACUGCCUUCGAAACUAGAUGACUGGAAUCUUGGAGAGGUCAGUGGAAUUCCGAGUGUAGAGGUGAAAUUCGUAGAUAUUCGGAAGAACACCAGUGGCGAAGGCGACUGACUGGACAAGUAUUGACGCUGAGGUGCGAAAGCGUGGGGAGCAAACAGGAUUAGAUACCCCAGUAGUCCCUGUCUCUUAUAC